rnacentral:rRNA from 1 species
UACACUCCUGCGGGAGGCAGCAGUGGGGAAUAUUGCACAAUGGGCGCAAGCCUGAUGCAGCCAUGCCGCGUGUAUGAAGAAGGCCUUCGGGUUGUAAAGUACUUUCAGCGGGGAGGAAGGCGAUAAGGUUAAUAACCUUGUCGAUUGACGUUACCCGCAGAAGAAGCACCGGCUAACUCCGUGCCAGCAGCCGCGGUAAUACGGAGGGUGCAAGCGUUAAUCGGAAUUACUGGGCGUAAAGCGCACGCAGGCGGUCUGUCAAGUCGGAUGUGAAAUCCCCGGGCUCAACCUGGGAACUGCAUUCGAAACUGGCAGGCCAGAGUCUUGUAGAGGGGGGUAGAAUUCCAGGUGGAGCGGUGAAAUGCGUAGAGAUCUGGAGGAAUACCGGUGGCGAAGGCGGCCCCCUGGACAAAGACUGACGCUCAGGUGCGAAAGCGUGGGGAGCAAACAGGAUUAGAAACCCCAGUAGUCCCAUGAU